GUGAGACGGAGAAAGAAAAGAAACAACAAUAGCCCUGAGACAGGCACUUCUGAUGGUUGCCAGUCACCAUGCCAUUCAGCAGCAGGUGGUCCCAAGGAGGGCCCUGCACCAUGUGCCACCAUGAAAGAUCCAGAGCCCUCGAGCCGCUGUGAAGCAGUCCUUGAGCAGCAGUUACAGCAGUUUCUACAGGAGCGGGAACUGCUAAAAGCACAGGUGGCAGAGGUGAGACUUUGCAGAGGGAGGGAUGUGGAAGGAAGAUGACCCCAGGUGGCCAGGAGCAGGUGAGGACCAGUGACAGCCCUUCCUAACUUCUGGGUCCAUUC